rnacentral:rRNA from 1 species
CACACGACUCUCGGCAACGGAUAACUCGGCUCUCGCAUCGAUGAAGAACGUAGCGAAAUGCGAUACCUGGUGUGAAUUGCAGAAUCCCGCGAACCAUCGAGUCUUUGAACGCAAGUUGCGCCCGAGGCCACCCGGCCGAGGGCACGCCUGCCUGGGCGUCACGC